CACAGCCCCGGCCUGUGUCCCGCUCUCUGCCCCGACUGGCCUGAGUCCCUGCCGCUCUGAGGUAACCACCGCCGGGGCAACAGCGCCCAGACCCCUCCCCCUGCCCCGGGCCGCACACAAUGACAGGCGUGUUACACAAACACGCACUCCGGCAACGCGCUCGCCCCGCUCUGGAAGCGGCCGGCUGUUGCCAUGGCGAUCUAGCACCUCCGCGCCGGCAGCACUCUCACCUGCGGACAGGUGUGCGGGAGGCUCUGACAGUAAGGUCAAAGCUGAAAUUAGGGGGCGAGACCAAUCUCUGCCAGAUCAGGCAGAUUGUCAAGAACCAGAUUGUCAAGUGCGGGGAAUGACAAGAGAGACAAUCAGAUUGAGGGUCGUCAGUUUCCCGGGACACACAGAGACGCUGGUGCAUCGUGUGUGAAUGCAGCAGCACCCCGAACCAGACUCCUGAAGCCCCGAGCGCAGGUCACCGCAGGAGAAGCUGGGAUUCAGGGAUUCAGGGAUUCAGGCGAGUCGCCAGGAAACAGGAGCGGGCCGGGCCGCGCGGAGCUGCUGUCCCGCCUCACACACGUCAUCAACUAGUGACCCGAAACACCAAUCAGCGUCUGCGGUGAAUCAGUGACCCCGCCCCAAGCGACGAGCGGCCGAUGAUGAUGAAAAUUAUUAAUUAGGAUUAGCGGUAACUAUUAUGUUAUGGAUAAUAUUAUUAAUAAUAAAAUUAUGAUUAUGA